rnacentral:rRNA from 1 species
UGGGGAAUAUUGGGCAAUGGGCGAAAGCCUGAACCUGCGACGCCGCGUGAGUGAUGAAGGUUUUCGGACUGUAAAACUCUGUUGUCAGGGACGAAGGUGCGAUCUGCGAAUAGUUGAUCGUAUUGACGGUACCUGACGAGGAAGCCACGGCUAACUACGUGCCAGCAGCCGCGGUAAUACGUAGGUGGCAAGCGUUGUCCGGAAUUAUUGGGCGUAAAGAGCAUGUAGGUGGGCUUUUAAGUCCGAUGUGAAAAUGCGGGGCUCAACCCCGUAUGGCAUUGGAUACUGGAAGUCUUGAGUGCAGGAGAGGAAAGGGGAAUUCCCAGUGUAGCGGUGAAAUGCGUAGAUAUUGGGAGGAACACCAGUGGCGAAGGCGCCUUUCUGGACUGUGUCUGACACUGAGAUGCGAAAGCUAGGGUAGCAAACG